rnacentral:sRNA from 1 species
AGCUCCUUUUUGGAAGGUAAAAAAGCGUAACAAGGUUUCCGUAGGUGAACCUGCGGAAGGAUCAUUACCGAGUGAGGGCCCUCUGGGUCCAACCUCCCACCCGUGUUUAUUUUACCUUGUUGCUUCGGCGGGCCCGCCUUAACUGGCCGCCGGGGGGCUUACGCCCCCGGGCCCGCGCCCGCCGAAGACACCCUCGAACUCUGUCUGAAGAUUGUAGUCUGAGUGAAAAUAUAAAUUAUUUAAAACUUUCAACAACGGAUCUCUUGGUUCCGGCAUCGAUGAAGAACGCAGCGAAAUGCGAUACGUAAUGUGAAUUGCAAAUUCAGUGAAUCAUCGAGUCUUUGAACGCACAUUGCGCCCCCUGGUAUUCCGGGGGGCAUGCCUGUCCGAGCGUCAUUGCUGCCCUCAAGCACGGCUUGUGUGUUGGGCCCCGUCCUCCGAUCCCGGGGGACGGGCCCGAAAGGCAGCGGCGGCACCGCGUCCGGUCCUCGAGCGUAUGGGGCUUUGUCACCCGCUCUGUAGGCCCGGCCGGCGCUUGCCGAUCAACCCGAAUUUUUAUCCAGGUUGACCUCGGAUCAGGUAGGGAUACCCGCUGAACUUAAGCAUAUCAAUAAGCGGAGGAAAAGAAACCAACAGGGAUUGCCCCAGUAACGGCGAGUGAAGCGGCAAGAGCUCAAAUUUGAAAGCUGGCUCCUUCGGGGUCCGCAUUGUAAUUUGUAGAGGAUGCUUCGGGAGCGGUCCCCAUCUAAGUGCCCUGGAACGGGACGUCAUAGAGGGUGAGAAUCCCGUAUGGGAUGGGGUGUCCGCGCCCGUGUGAAGCUCCUUCGACGAGUCGAGUUGUUUGGGAAUGCAGCUCUAAAUGGGUGGUAAAUUUCAUCUAAAGCUAAAUAUUGGCCGGAGACCGAUAGCGCACAAGUAGAGUGAUCGAAAGAUGAAAAGCACUUUGAAAAGAGAGUUAAAAAGCACGUGAAAUUGUUGAAAGGGAAGCGCUUGCGACCAGACUCGCUCGCGGGGUUCAGCCGGCAUUCGUGCCGGUGUACUUCCCCGCGGGCGGGCCAGCGUCGGUUUGGGCGGUCGGUCAAAGGCCCUCGGAAGGUAACGCCCCUAGGGGCGUCUUAUAGCCGAGGGUGCAAUGCGACCUGCCUAGACCGAGGAACGCGCUUCCGCUCGGACGCUGGCAUAAUGGUCGUAAACGACCCGUCUUGAACACGGACCAAGGAGUUAACAUCUACCCCAGUGUUCGGGUGCAAACCCGUGCCGAAUGAAACGAACGGAGGGGGAACCUUCCGGGUGCCCAUCCACC